AAUAAAUAAAUAAUAAACUAAUAUGCUCUUAUUGUAGUAAAAUUUAAAAACAUAGCCAUACGUAAACCAUUUCAAUAGCACACACCAACUUCUGCAUUAUCUAGUAAGCCAUGAAUACAUCUGUUCUUGCUUUGUAUGUUCAUGAGGGAGGCAUAACCUCUCUCCAUCUUUGUAUAGCUCACAACAGCAGCAGAAGUACCAUGUCAUAAAUGAAUGACAUUCAGUGAUCUGAGGCUAUCCGUUGUAGAAGCUUGUCUAUAGAAACUGGAAUAAAAUAGAAGAGUUGGAGAAAUGACCCAAUGGUUAAGAACACUGGGUGCUCUUACAGAGAACCCAAGUUUGAUUCCCAGCACCCACAUGGUGGUUCACAACCAUCUGUAACUCCAUGUCUAGUGGAUCUGUUACCCAGUUCUGGCUUCCUCAGGCACCAGACACACAUGGUCCCCAGAUAUUCAUGCAGGCUAAGCGUCCAAAUACUUAAAGAACUUUAAAAAGGAUCAAAAUGGAAGCUCUCCUUGAGAGCUUCCAAAACAGAGAUUUGUAUGUUAUGCCCAAAUAACCAAAUAACACCCUGGAACAGAAACUACCAUUAUCCAGGAUCAGAUAAUCCGGCCUCUGAAGUGAGGCAGAUGUGGUCCAGAAUCUACCUCUGAUCUCAGCGGCAACGUGGCCACGGGAAAGUCAUUUAAACAUUGUGAGACUCCAGUUCAAUCGCAGCUUGGCUUUGAUCACACUGGACUCAUGCCGACGGAGUGAUGAGAGAGCUAAAAGGCUGGUAAUUGCCCUGGUGGGUGACUAACUCUGGGCUGUCUGGAACUAACCCAGUUUUAGCACUGAAAAGGCCAUACCUUGAUCUCAAGUCAACCUGGAUAGCGAGCCACCCUAUGGAAAACUCAAGUCUCGCCGUGUCGAUUUUUUCUUUUUUGAAGUGUCGGGAUCCAGUCGAGUCUUGCACAUACUAGAACCCAACUGCCCCGAGGGCUCAGAUCCACUUGAGAGAUCUGUAACGCAGAGAUUUAGUGGAACAGCCAGGUAGGCGGCUGUGAAGUUUCCGUGAGGGAAGUCUCUUCAAGCCCUUCGUUCCAGAGGUGGCCACAAAAGCAACACUCAGUCUCACCAACACUGAAGAGAUGGCUCAGAGGUUAAAAGCACUGACUGCUCUCCCACAGGAUCCAGGCUGGAUUCCAAGCACCCAUAUGGUGGCUCCCAACCCUCUGUAACUCCAGUUCCAGGGAAUCUGAUACCAUCUUCUGGCCUCUG